rnacentral:misc_RNA from 1 species
CACACCCAUCUCUCUCUUUGUCAAAUUCAUCUUUGUCUCUGCUCAUCUCCUGUUGCUUCUCUCAAAUUCUUACUCUCUUUCUAUUACUUCUAUCUCUGCUUUGUUCUGGUUCUGCUUCUUGCUCCAAACAGAGCUCAAUCCUCCUUGGGAAUCUUCGUCUUAUUGUUUGUUACUCUCAGUUCCAAGUCCAACCACUUUCUUUUAUUUCCUUCGAAUUAAAUCCAGCUCUUCUUUUGGUUUUGGUCCUAAUU